rnacentral:rRNA from 1 species
GAAUAUUGGACAAUGGGCGCAAGCCUGAUCCAGCCAUGCCGCGUGAGUGAUGAAGGCCCUAGGGUUGCAAAGCUCUUUCACCGGUGAAGAUAAUGACGGUAACCGGAGAAGAAGCGCCGGCUAACUUCGCGCCCGCAGCCGCGGUAAUACGAAGGGGGCGAGCGUUGGUCGGAUUUACUGGGUGUAACGCGCACGUAGGCGGACUAUUAAGUCAGGGGUGAAAUCCCGGGGCUCAACCCCGGAACUGCCUUUAAUAAUGGUAGUGUGGAGUUCGAGAGAGGUGAGUGGAAUUCCGAGUGUAGAGGUGAAAUUCGUAGAUAUUCGGAGGAACACCAGUGGCGAAGGCGGCUCACUGGCUCGAUACUGACGCUGAGGUGCGAAAGCGUGGGGAGCAAACA